AUGAACGCUAGCUACAGGCUUAACACAUGCAAGUCGAGGGGCAUCAGGAAGAAAGCUUGCUUUCUUUGCUGGCGACCGGCGCACGGGUGAGUAACACGUAUCCAACCUGCCGAUGACUCGGGGAUAGCCUUUCGAAAGAAAGAUUAAUACCCGAUGGUAUAUCUGAAAGGCAUCUUUCAGCUAUUAAAGAAUUUCGGUCAUUGAUGGGGAUGCGUUCCAUUAGGUUGUUGGCGGGGUAACGGCCCACCAAGCCAUCGAUGGAUAGGGGUUCUGAGAGGAAGGUCCCCCACAUUGGAACUGAGACACGGUCCAAACUCCUACGGGAGGCAGCAGUGAGGAAUAUUGGUCAAUGGACGAGAGUCUGAACCAGCCAAGUAGCGUGAAGGAUGACUGCCCUAUGGGUUGUAAACUUCUUUUAUACGGGAAUAAAGUUAGGCACGUGUGCCUUUUUGUAUGUACCGUAUGAAUAAGGAUCGGCUAACUCCGUGCCAGCAGCCGCGGUAAUACGGAGGAUCCGAGCGUUAUCCGGAUUUAUUGGGUUUAAAGGGAGCGUAGGCGGAUGCUUAAGUCAGUUGUGAAAGUUUGCGGCUCAACCGUAAAAUUGCAGUUGAUACUGGGUGUCUUGAGUACAGUAGAGGCAGGCGGAAUUCGUGGUGUAGCGGUGAAAUGCUUAGAUAUCACGAAGAACUCCGAUUGCGAAGGCAGCUUGCUGGACUGUAACUGACGCUGAUGCUCGAAAGUGUGGGUAUCAAACAGGAUUAGAUACCCUGGUAGUCCACACAGUAAUCGAUGAAUUCUCGCUGUUUGCGAUAUACAGUAAGCGGCCAAGCGAAAGCGUUAAGUAUUCCACCUGGGGAGUACGCCGGCAACGGUGAAACUCAAAGGAAUUGACGGGGGCCCGCACAAGCAGUGGAGUAUGUGGUUUAAUUCGAAGCAACGCGAAGAACCUUACCAGGGCUUGACAUCCAACUAACGAAGCAGAGAUGCAUUAGGUGCCCUUCGGGGAAAGUUGAGACAGGUGGUGCAUGGUUGUCGUCAGCUCGUGCCGUGAGGUGUCGGCUUAAGUGCCAUAACGAGCGCAACCCUUAUCGAUAGUUACCAUCAGGUUAUGCUGGGGACUCUGUCGAGACUGCCGUCGUAAGAUGUGAGGAAGGUGGGGAUGACGUCAAAUCAGCACGGCCCUUACGUCCGGGGCUACACACGUGUUACAAUGGGGGGUACAGAAGGCAGCUACACGGUGACGUGAUGCUAAUCCCUAAAACCUCUCUCAGUUCGGAUUGGAGUCUGCAACCCGACUCCAUGAAGCUGGAUUCGCUAGUAAUCGCGCAUCAGCCACGGCGCGGUGAAUACGUUCCCGGGCCUUGUACACACCGCCCGUCAAGCCAUGAAAGCCGGGGGUACCUGAAGUGCGUAACCGCGAGGAGCGCCCUAGGGUAAAACUGGUGAUUGGGGCU
rnacentral:rRNA from 1 species